UCAACAUGAUGUGAAAGCAAUAAUCAAUAAUUUGUGGUUGAAUUUGAAGUUUAUUAAUUACAUAUUUUUUACAGGUUACGCGGUCUAUUGGUGAUGAUGAUCUGAAGCCUGCUAUGAUUGCAGAACCUGAGAUAACUGAGACCAUACUGUUUGUAGAAGAUGAAUACUUGGUUAUGGCUAGCGAUGGCUCUGGGAUGUUAUGAGCAACGCAGAGAUUGUUUGCAUAAUAAAGGACACAGUGAAAGAGCCUAGGAUGUGCUCAAAGAGAUUGGCAACCGAGGCUGUUGAACGUGGAAGCAAAGAUAACUGUUAUUGUCGUUUUCCUGCAUCCUGUAUCUACUGCAGAGAGGAUUUACUAGGUUUGAUGGUAUUCUUAUACAAAUUGUUUUGUAUCUAUGAAAUUAAUUUUAGUGAGACAUGGAAAUGAACCAGAGGUGGUAGGAAAAGGUUUACCUCCUCAUCUUGUGGAAAUUGUAUGUGUACAUUUAUUUUUAGUGGGAAACUACACAAAGCAUAUGCUUGUAUUAUUGGA